GGCAUACCUCCUCCGAUUUUGCUAAAACUCAUGUAUCAUAUGUAUUUUAACUCGUAGAAGCCGGAUCCAAAAGUAAAAAUAGUUACUCAGCUCUAUAAAGCAAGAAAGAAAUUGUUAAAGAUAGAGGUAUGAUAGGUUAGGAAACCUGCCAUUGCAAAGCAAAGUCUGUUCGUUGUACUUACUGUAUUAGUGUAGCGCAGUAUACAACUAAACUUUUAUAAUUAUUGUACAUAAGAUAGGACUUAUUUUGUAUUAUACAUGAAAUAACUCCUAUCUUGUGUACAAUAAUUAUAAAAGAAUAUAUCUUUAAAUCUUCGCCUUAUAUGUACUAAAAUGG